rnacentral:rRNA from 1 species
AGUGAACGCUGGCGGUAGGCCUAACACAUGCAAGUCGAACGGCAGCACAGUAAGAGCUUGCUCUUACUGGUGGCGAGUGGCGGACGGGUGAGGAAUACAUCGGAAUCUACUUUUUCGUGGGGGAUAACGUAGGGAAACUUACGCUAAUACCGCAUACGACCUACGGGUGAAAGCAUGGGAUCUUCGGACCUUGCGCGAUUGAAUGAGCCGAUGUCGGAUUAGCUAGUUGGCGGGGUAAAGGCCCACCAAGGCGACGAUCCGUAGCUGGUCUGAGAGGAUGAUCAGCCACACUGGAACUGAGACACGGUCCAGACUCCUAAGGGAGGCAGCAGUGGGGAAUAUUGGACAAUGGGAGCAAGCCUGAUCCAGCCAUACCGCGUGGGUGAAGAAGGCCUUCGGGUUGUAAAGCCCUUUUGUUGGGAAAGAAAAGCAGCAGGUUAAUACCCCGCUGUUCUGACGGUACCCAAAGAAUAAGCACCGGCUAACUUCGUG